UCCACAGAAGUUAAUAAAAAGCAUCCCUGUUCCAAGGGUGAAGGUUUCAAUGGACGGAGAAAAAGAAAGAGCAGGAGCUACCUGCCUACCUGUCCCUAAGGAGCACCUUGUGAAGGACUAAGACGACUGUGUCCCGUGCACUGGAUUCCCCUGAUGUCAGGACCAAGUGAGAAGCUGGAGACUUGGAGGCGUUUUGUUGCUGAUGUGAAAGAAAAGGCCUCUCUGCGUAGCCUUAACCUCCUGAGUGCUGGGACUACUCAUGCAGCUGCAGACCAUUUUCAGUUAAUGAUCAUGGGAACCAUGGCAACAGACAACUGACAUACUGGAGGCAAAACCAUCCACUAGGAAAGCCACCAAACUCUCAUGGAAGCUAGAGAGACUCAUGACUAAUCAGGAACUUUACAGCAGAAGUUAUCAGGUUCUAAUGCUCCCUUCCCAGGCACACCCCUCUGGGACACAGAGUAUAUGGGACACUCCCUAUGAUGAAGCCACUAACACCAGAGCUGGUCAGCACCCACAGCCUUGACCAACAGAUGGUGAGGGGAAGGGGGAAGUGCUGCUUAAUGGCUAGAGUUAUCAGCACAUGAUGAAAAGCGUUCCGGGGAUGCGCUUCACAGCAAAUGUGACUGUCAGACAAAACCUGUCUCCCAGAAGUGUCAAGUCUUCUACCUACAGUCUCACAGGGAAAAGUGAGAUUCAGAGUAACUCUGCUUACCUCUGAAUUGGUCUUCCUAUCUUUGUAUGCUUCAAUUUCUCUUAAAACAAAAGGCUUUAAAUAAAAGCGGUUUAA